CAGACAUGAGAGGAUCGUUUUAAGUGUGUUCUGUACGAGUGACUCUGUUUUCAGGAUAAAUAACUUGCUGAAGUCCACACGACACUGUUUCCCUGGAGGAGAAGAAGAGUGCGUGGGAAAGCAAAGCCGCGGGCCCGGUGUGGAGGAGUCGAGGCGGAGAAGACAGGCGCACAGUCCAUGAAUUAAGGAAGUUUCCUUCUCUUCACAGCUCUGAUGAAAAUGGCCGGCGGAGCGAGGCCGGAUUCCUGUACACAAUGAUGCAGUCACUGCACAUUACGCUGACUUUCCGGGUUCGUUUCCUCCAAUGGGGAAUUGAGAGAGGCUCAGCAGCGGCUUCGCGAAUUAGAUAACACCUUCGCUCCGCGCCCCCCCCCCCCGCUGCUCUUUGUUCUCCAGACCCCCUCUCCGCGGUACGUUUACUCCGCUUUCCUUAGGUUAAUGUCGCGGAAGAACGCGGUGCUGACGUGCUGUAAAUAGGCAAUAACUUCAGGGGAUCAGGUAACUUCCAUAAGAUUUCCCAUGACACUAAUUCUGCUUUUCGCCUAGUGUAAACCCUUACUAUAUACUUGCUGAUCAUCAUCAUGUCGGAUUCCGACAACGACGAUCCCCAGGAGGUUUUUUUAUCCUAACACGGAUCUGCUUCAGGAGAUUGCCUCCAACUCCUCGGGCGGUCGGCGCAAGAGCCUUCGUCUAGCCGAACGACAUCCCGGAUCCCGCACAGACGAGGCUGACAUUCUUAUCGCCCAGCUACAGGAUCACGGCAUCAUGCCAGCUCCAGGCCUGCUUCCUGCUCAGCUACGCGAUCUCCAGCCCGGUCCCAGCUCCCACCCAGGGCACGUUCCAUCUAACCCAGCCGACUUUCCUGCCGCGCCUAACCGCGGGCGCAAAAGAACCAGGAAAGCGGCUUCAUCCAAGGCCCCCGCGGCUAAGAUAAGUAGCAUACCUACCCGAUCUUGUGCGCCGGCACCCAUACCAGCUCCAGGUGACAUGCUGACAACCAACCUGCAGUAUCUGGCCAUAACCUUACAGUACAUCGAUAGCCGGCUGGAGACGCUCGAAAACACCGCACAUUUCGCCUCAUCCUCUUCAAACAUCAGCGCCCAGCAAAUCUCCUAGCACAAACAGCCACGCACACGUCCUCCCUACCCAGCGAAAACACCCAACACACCUUGGCCUUCAGCCGUCCUGGCCCCCGGUAUAGGUAGGCCAUACAUCCCUCAGGCUGCUAACAUUUCCGCAGGCCUCCGAUCAAAAAUAUUACAAGGCAAAGACAUCAACCUAGUCAGCCUCAUUCUGCCAAUCGCCAGAGUGCGAUAAAACAAUUGCCACAGGAGAAAAUCUAACUGCCGUGUUCAAAACCACUGAUCCGCGUCUAAUCAGAGAUUUAUCAAUCGGACAAUUCCUUAUUGCCUUCAGCAUCUUCCGCGGCACCAUAUGCUCCGUCUACCCCGAACGGAGACAGGAAUUACCUGAUGCUACUCGGCGCCUUAAAAUUUAAGAUACGGAAGGAAUACAUUCUACAAAUACCACAAAGCCUUCUCUAGCAAGGCCGCACUGUACAUACAUGUCUGAACUGGUCCCAGCUAGACACAGAAUUGCACCUCUUGGUCGCUGGAGGCGCUCAAGUAAUUGCAUGUAGUUCCUGCGGAAAUACGGGUCACACGCACCUUUUCUGUCCUUAAGUGCCGUUUCAAAACAACAUUUCCCGUCCAUCCUCAUCUCAGCGCAACGACCGUACAGGCCAGCAGGUGCACCAAUUCAACCAGUCUGCAAUAUGCCAUAAAUUCAACUUUAAUGUGUGUUCUUUCCCCAACUUUCUCCACAUUUGUAGCAUCUGCAAAGACGCACAUCCCAAGUCCGUCUUUCCCAGACGCCCGAUUCCAUUCCGGAACCCACCUCAGAUGCAGAAACGUCUUGGUUCAAAGCUCUUUUGAACACUCAUCCCUCCACACCAAUUAACGUACAAUAUCUAACGGCAGAAUUGCGUUCCCAUCCCGACGCUGUAUUCGUGAACUAUUUAUUCACCGGACUUUCUCAGGGCUUCCAAGUGGGGGUCCCGUCCUCUCCCACAGUUACAAACGUGGCAAAAAAUCUCCAUCCUCAAUAAAUGAACCAGAAAUUGUUUCUCAGUUGCUCGAGAAAGAAGUGAAAAAAGGCUACAUCAUCGGUCCCUAUAAAUCAUCUCCAUUCUCAGUGUUUUCCUCAAACCCCAUAGGCAUAGCCACAAGAAUAUAUUAAUUUUCGAUCUCUCAGCCCCCCGCGCCGGCCCCUUCGCAAGCAUAAAUAAUACCAUUCCAUCAGAGCCAUUUUCUCUCAAUUACUCACAUUUUUCUAUGAAGACCUGGUUCA